AUGGGAUCUAUCGACCUUGAUAGAGAGGAGUAGUCCUAUGAGAUUUGAGAAACUGAGUCCACAAGUCAUGGCCAUAGCAGAGUGAUUAAUGAAAAAAAAAUUAUUUAAAAUUAUUAUUAAACUUGAGCUGAUCGGAUCUAUCAUAUGACUGAUGAUGAGGUUUGAUGAUUUAUCCAUGAUCUGCCAUCUAGUCAGGACUCAUGAUAGAGGGAC
rnacentral:lncRNA from 1 species